GACGAACGCUGGCGGCGUGCUUAACACAUGCAAGUCGAACGAGAUCCAUGGAGUAGCAAUACUCCGGAAGAUCUAGUGGCGAACGGGUGAGUAACACGUGAGCAACCUGCCCCAAAGACUGGGAUAACCCCGGGAAACCGGAGCUAAUACCGGAUGCCCUCAUCGGAUCGCAUGGUCUGAUGAGGAAAUGAAUUUUGCUUUGGGAGGGGCUCGCGGGAUAUCAGCUUGNGGUGGGGUAAUGGCCUACCAAGGCUUCGACGUCUAGCUGGUCUGAGAGGACGAUCAGCCACACUGGGACUGAGACACGGCCCAGACUCCUACGGGAGGCAGCAGUGGGGAAUCUUGCCCAAUGGGGGAAACCCUGAGGCAGCAACGCCGCGU
rnacentral:rRNA from 1 species